GUGUGAUAUGCCUUAUUUUCAGGGUCCAUGCACGUCCAUCACGUUACAAUGAAAACAAAGGCAAUUUUCGCAAAUCAGUGAUAAUGUCCCCCAAGCUCCCAGGCUCCGUGUCAUCUAGGAGCAAGCAUUUUCGGUCAAGAAAAGGUGCAGAGGGAAAGAAUUUCAUCUCUCAAGUUCAUCAACUGUCUUCAUGGAGAGAAGUGGAUCAACAACCCACCAAGACUUUACGAGGAAUAACAUUCUCAUCUUCGUCUACAUCUAAGUGUGGGUCUAAUGGUUUAGAUAACCCAGAAAGUACCCUUAACUCAAGCACACGAUCAAGCACUUUACAAACAAAAUCAUCAUCAUCGUCAUCUUCAUCUAAGUCUAAGCUCAGGUCCGAUAGUUCAGAAAAUGCACAAAGUAUCCUUUCUUCGAGGACACAAUCAGGCACUACCACUGAAAUGCAUCAGGAACCAAUAGUUCCAGAGGUAUCCAGUAGUUUUUUGUUGGCUGUCAGACUAAGCCUAAGGAAAAGUUUCACAACAAGGCAUGCAAUGAGAGUAGAGGUUAAACCUUCAAGGUUAUCGAAAGAUAGUAAGGAAUCAUCCAACAUGUCCAGUAUUGGGUCCUCACUCGAUCUCCAAAGAAGAGCUAGGCACAGCAAUGCCAGGUCAAAGCUGAAGGAAGAUAAUUCUCAAAUGGUGAGGAAAGCAUGUAUGAAAGAUAUGCAUACUAACGAUAAGACUCUAAAUACAGGGAAGAACUUUAAUGCUCAUCAUCCACAAGGAAGUUCGACUAUCAAAAGAGGGAAGGUUGUCUCUGCUAAAAGGGAUGACCAUGAACCUAUUUCGAAGGUAAAAACUGCUAAAACGGGUGACCAUGAACCGAUUUCAAUGGGACAAAGUGCAGUUUCUGCUGGAAGGCUUACAUAUGGUCACCGGGCAACUACUUUUAGGAAGCCUUUGAGGACAAUUACCACAACAGAAACUCAGAAUUAUAAAGUUGAAGUGGUUCCAAAAAGGAUUACAAAAGUUGAAAUGCACCCCAAAAAGGUCACAAAUAUUGGCAAAUCCCAGAGGGCUUUUGUAGAUGGAAAAGAAAACUCUGUGAAUGGGAAAGGAGAAGUGAACCCCAAAAGAAUUACAAAUGUCAGCAAAUCCCAGAGGGCUUGUGUUGGUGGAAAAGAAAUUGCUGCCUGUAGCAUUCAUCAGAAUCAGAAGACAUCUAAAUGUGGCUUACAAGUGAAGACUGGCAACACAUUGCAUGAUAAAAAGGGAAAAGGCUCUAGGAAUACUGAAACUACAGAAGGAAGAACUGUGAAUGGAGCUCGAAAUGUAUAUUUCCGUUAGGGCUAGCAGUGGAGAGGAUUCUAACUUUUUUGUACAUAAUAAGAAGAAAAAUACGGUCAUCAACUAUGCAAAUUGUUAUAUAGGAAUAUUCAGUGAGUUAAAGAUCAAUCCUUUUCAAAAGCAACGGGCGCUUUUAUCAAAUGUGCUUCGCUUCGGCCAAAGAGACCGAAGCCUUCGGAUUUUAGGCAUAAAUCGAAGAGAAUUGAAGCUUGGUGCUACCACUUCAGUCAGAUUCGGGUUGCUUCGGUCAGAUUCGGAUUGCUUCGGGUAGCAAAGAAAUAGCUAUAUAAAUGUUUUAUUUAUUUAUUUAUUUUUCUACUAGUUGUAUAUAUUAUAUAUAUGAGUAAUGAUUCUAUGAGAC